ACGUGUCAGUGAAUCUGUCUGGUAGGCAAACAGCUGACAAAGACAUUGUCACACUUUAUUUUCAUGUUUUGACAUACUGUGUAAAGGUAUUUUUGAUGAUGAGUUCCUAUCUAUUAUCUUGCUUGGAAGUGUCGAUUUUAAUACAAUAAAAAGACAAUGAUCGAAGUUGAGAAAGUUAAUUAUGACUUAGACGUUUCUCUUGAUCAAUUUUUUUCACAGAUGGAGAGUUCACAUUUUUUAUUCAAGCAGGGGGGGGGGGGGGGGGGAGUUGUCAUAUAAUCAACUUUACAAACAAAAAUUUCAUACUAAUGUCAGAAGAAAAUUCCAAUUAUGAUACAAGCCUCCUUCCAACUCCAUUCAGAUUGUAAAUAAAUGAAUACGUGUCAAAAGUGGUUGUUAUAGGUCGAAAUUCCUACGACACAUGGUAUUGUAAAGAGUUAUUGGUCCAUACAGUGGUCAAUGAAAAAGCCAUUCAGUGGUUCUGGGUCCAUUCUAGGUAAUACUCCUCAAAACCAGACCCACAUACACCCCAACAAAGAUGACGGCCACAAGGAUGGAAGCCACACCAGCCAUUAUCGAUAUGUUGGACAGCUGUCGAGCCGAGUUGGAAUUACUUCGGGCAGAUUGCAUGUCUCCUCUAGCAUACGAGCUCCGUGACUGGAAAAAGUAAAAUACAUAAAUGUCGGAGUACUUGCCUGUGAUGUCAGUUUUGAUCUCCUCACACGACAAACAACAGGCAGCGUUGACGGACGGGAGAUAACAGUCGUACGGCCGUCCGUAAACUCUGUCGGCGCACCCCACGCCGCCCGGGACCACCGGCUGGUCACCAAACGGGCACCUGUCUACAACAUACACCCAACUGGUGACGUGAAUUCUGAACAACUGUUUUUUGAAAUUCUAAAAUAUGAAAGUACAGAGUUUGGAGAAAAGACAUUACCUGGUACGUUUUCACCUUCAUCCGACAACACACAUUCACCCCCAUUGCAAGUCUAGAAAUAUAAAACCUAGAGUGUUUAGAAACAGUUCAUGUUCAAAUCUAACACUAGAAGCUGUGGUAAACAGAAAUAAAUCUGAAAGAAAUCAAUAAUACAUUCCUAACAAUGGUUCCUACCGUGAAGUUGCCACAAAUAGUGCCGUCUAGAGGCAGGAUACUGGAGCACGUAGUGGACUCGGGCGAAUAACAGGACAUUCCUCCGCACAGGGUGCUGUAGUCCGGACCGGUCAGGGCCUGUCAACGUGCAGUCAUUCUAACAUACAGUUACUUCCGACAAUAAUCCACAUUCUAAUUUUGAUUUGAUUGGAACAUAUCUUCAUUGUACAAAAGUACAUUUGGGAUUGGGCACAAGUUCGAUAACUUAAACCGCCCUCUCCCAAUUUUGAUUUGGAUAGCGACACUUACCCUACAUAAAAACGACUCAAGACCAAAGGCAGUUCUACAUUGUGCGUCAGCAUCCGGGGAUUUGGCCACCUCUGAUAACAAUGGCACUCCGGUGGCUGUGUGGGACCUCAAGCAUUCUGUCCCGUCACUGUAAAACCAAACAUUGGUAUAACCUUUUUUCUCUAAAAUGUAAGUUAAACAUGUUGUACGUUAGCAAGCAUUGGUCAGUACAAGGAGAUGCAGAUGACACUCGGCACAUAGUCAUACCUGUCCAACUUUUGAAGGAAAUUUUUGAUGUAUGAUAUGGAACAUCGUGAAAACUUCCAAAGAUUCGGCGUCUUGGGGCUGUUGAAAGCAAACUUGGUCGACAUGAUGUUAAGAUUGGUUGCUCGGCAAAAGUUCCCAUCCAUGUCCAACCUUGAACCGAGGCUUAGAGGGAAAAAAAGGUUUAAGAUAAAUAUACGGCUAAAUGUAAAUAUAUAGUAUUAUUGGUAUGUUGUAUAUUUACUUUGUACCUUCUUCCAAGCUCCUGAGCGGCGAAUAUCGCUGUCCGUUCAUCGUAGAAAUCUUCCACCACCGACAUCGCCAGGGCCGUGCAGACAGAAUCGGGAUAGGAUAGCCCUGCCAUCGAGACCAUUGUAAUAUUAUAGAGCUCUCUAAUU
rnacentral:sRNA from 1 species